rnacentral:rRNA from 1 species
AUUGAACGCUGGCGGCAAGCCUUACACAUGCAAGUCGAGCGGUAACAUUUCUAGCUUGCUAGAAGAUGGCGAGCGGCGGACGGGUGAGUAAAGCAUAGGAAUCUGGCCAAUAGAGGGGGAUAGCCCGGAGAAAUCCGGAUUAAUACCGCAUACACUCUAUGGAGAAAAAAGCUGGGGAUCUUCGGACCUUGCGCUAUUGGAUGAGCCUAUGUCGGAUUAGUUAGUUGGUGGGGUAAAGGCCUACCAAGGCGACGAUCCGUAGCUGGUCUUAGAGGAUGAUCAGCCACAUCGGGACUGAGACACGGCCCGAACUCCUACGGGAGGCAGCAGUGGGGAAUAUCGCACAAUGGGCGCAAGCCUGAUGCAGCUAUGCCGCGUGUGUAAAGAAGGCCUUAGGGUUGUAAAGCACUUUCAGUAGUGAGGAAAAGUGUUGUGUUAAUAGCGCAAUGCUGCGACGUUAGCUACAAAAGAAGGACCGGCAAACUCCGUG